CCUCAGCAGCCUCUUCCGCCAUCCUCCGUAGGCUGCAUUCUGCCCUAAUGAGCGCCGGUUUUUGAGCCUUGCUCUUCCCUUGCUACCGACGUCGAAUCAUUAUGCGGUCAACAACCGCAGGUGUAUCCUGAACACCUGAGACAAGGAACAGAUGUACAGUAAAUACUUGAUGAGUUAAUGAAUGGCCCACAUAGAAGCCGAAAAUUUUUAAAUUAUUAACAAGAAAAACAGUUUCGGCACCCAAGACUGUGUGGUAGAUAGAGCUCCCUCUCCCCUCUCCCCUCUCCCCUCC